rnacentral:lncRNA from 10 species
GGGAGCUUAGAUGUGGAAGCUCUUUGGAAACCAAGAAACACUCUGAAAAUGAAAAGGGAAGCAGAAGUUCUCCUUAGCUGAUUUUUCUUCUUGCCUUAUACUGGGUUCUUUAACACCAGAACAAAAAUAAAUAAAUAAAAGAAUCUUCCAGAAAUUCAUGAAGAGACUUCAGGUCAGGAAAGCCUGAACUUUCUCAUCCAACACCCGUUCAAGUCGGAGGAUGCUGAUUAAUUCAUGAUGGAAAGGUAUCAAUUUCACAGCCCAGACCUCUACAUUCUUGAAAUGCUCUUCUCAUGGGAGACAUUAAAUAAGCUUUGAAUUAACUGUCAGACGUUUGCUGAAUUCAGUUCUGAGCUUUUGAACCAAAAGCAGAUCUUCAGAACAAGAAACAAGAUAAUAAAAGAGAAACAUGAAGAAACUGAAGAUGAUUGGAGAAAUAUGAAUCAAGAUGAUUAGACCUAGCAGAGGGCUGGCUGGAUGGCAUUUAUGUUGACAAUGGACUCCUACACAGAGGAUGAUCAUGGUCUAGGACAUAAUAGUCAUUCAAUCAUCAUUUCUUAAAUGAUUUUUUAAAACAAGUGAAUGAAUGACCAAUUAUAUACCUUCCCUGAGCCAAUAAAAUAUA